rnacentral:rRNA from 1 species
CCCUUAGAUGUUCUGGGCCGCACGCGUGCUACACUGAGUGGAUCAGCGGGUCAGGUUGCGCGAAAGUGUUUCCUAAUCUUGAAAUCCGCUCGUGAUGGGGAUUGACGGUUGCAAUUUUCCGUCAUGAACGAGGAAUACCUUGUAAGCGCGGGUCAUCAUCCCGCGCUGAAUACGUCCCUGCCCUUUGUACACACCGCCCGUCGCUCCUACCGAUUGAGUGGUCCGGUGAGGCUUUGGGAUCUGAGCGGAAAGAGCGUUUCGCUGUUUCAGCUCGGAAAACUCAGUCGAACCUUAUCAUUUAGAGGAAGGAGAAGUCGUAACA